rnacentral:lncRNA from 10 species
AAGGGGCCCAGCACAGUGGCUCACACCUAUAAUCCUAGCACUUCGGGAGGUUGAGGCAAGUGGAUCGCUUGAGCCCAGGAGUUCGAGACAGCCUGGGCAACAAGGUGAAACCCUGUCUCUAUUCUAAAAAAAAAUAAAAAUAAAAAACAGGCUGGGCAUGGUGGCUCACACCUGUUUUCCCAGCACUUUGGGAGGCCGAGGCGGGAGGAUCCCUUGAGCCUAGGGGGUUUAAGAUCAGUCUGAGCAACAUGGUGAGAAAUUUUGAAUUUUAAAAAUUAAAAAAAAAAUUAGCUGGGCAUGGUGGCUCACAACUGUGGUCCCAGCAGCUACUCAGAGACCAAGGUGGGAGGAUCACUUGAACCUGGGAGGCAGAAGUUGCAGUGAGCCAAGGUUUUGCCACUUCAUUCCAGCCUGGGUGUC